CGUGUUGAUGAUCUCUAUAAGGUAAAUGAACUGAAGGUUUCAAAGCCUACAAUGUCAGAGCAUCGUAUAUUUGACAAUUAAUUUUCUAAAUAUAUUGAGCGUUGAAUCGUUGAAUAUGACUCGAAUCUUGUGAUAUAUAAUCAGUUAUAUAAAUUUAAUCCGACAACUUUAUCUUAUCCGAAGAUUCGUGCGCUAUCUGUUGAUGUUCAGCACAACUAGAAGAGCCAUCCAAACUGUUCCUUCUUAUUUAAUUAUGUUUCAAAAGGAAGAAAUAAUUAUUCCGGCGAUCUGAAAUACAAUUUAUUAUGUUGUAUUUAUGAGAUAUGCUUACUAUCAUUUAUUUAGUCUUGAUUAUUAGAAUGCUUACUAUCAUUUAUUUAUUUUUGAUUAUUAUUAAAAUGCGAAAUUCAUGAAAAAUUUAGAAUUUUAAAUGCACGCAUGUUAUAUAAGAGGUAUUUUAAUUAAACAAGCAUGUUUCAGAUAACUUUGAGCGAGAAAGAAAUUUUCUUUCCUCAUUAUCGUACUGCACGCGCGUUUCGUUCGCCAUUGUCAUAAUAAAUAAUGCAAAAAGAUACCAGUCCAUGUGCCUGAAUGCUAGGAUUAUUUUACGGUUCAUGAAGAUAAUUAAGGAUUUAAAAUAAGAUAAAAGAACUUGUAUAAUCAGGAAUUUAAUUCGUCGCGAAUGAAAGUUUAAUCAUCAUGGUAAAUAAAGAUUUGAUAGAUUCAAAAAUAAUUUUGCCAAAGCGGGAAAUAUUAUUUCACAGAUGGCGCCAAGAUUCUUAGUGUCACUUGGGCAUUUAAAUGGAACGUUACACUUUUUAUCUUGGAAGAGAUGAGCCGUAUGUGAUACGAGACCAAUGACCCAUGAACAGCAUCAUUCAAACUCAUCUGUAUAUCUUGUAAACCUUCACGAUAUAUGAACAUCUAAGAUACAAAUCAUUUCUAUAAUCAUAAUAUGCUCUGCAGCCUUGAACAACCUUGUAUGGAGGUUAAGUUCGUAAUUUGCAUUUUAAUAUUUCUUUAGAAUACUAUAUUAUAUGAUUUAUUCAUAUUUUUUUAAUAUAAUAUGCGACACUUUCAA